GGUCAAGCGAACAAGUGCAUGUGGUGGAUGCCUUGGCGAUCACAGGCGAUGAAGGACGCGGUAGCCUGCGAAAAGCUCCGGGGAGCUGGCAAACGAGCAUUGAUCCGGAGAUGUCCGAAUGGGGAAACCCACCUCUUUUGAGGUAUCCGUAGCUGAAUCCAUAGGCUACGAGAAGCGAACGCGGCGAACUGAAACAUCUAAGUAGCCGCAGGAAAAGAAAUCAACCGAGAUUCCCAGAGUAGUGGCGAGCGAAAUGGGAUCAGCCUGUACUCUUUAUCUGUACUGUUAGCCGAAUGCUCUGGAAAGUGCAGCCAUAGCAGGUGAUAGCCCUGUAGACGAAAACAGAAUGGAAGAACUAGGUGUACGACAAGUAGGGCGGGACACGUGAAAUCCUGUCUGAAGAUGGGGGGACCAUCCUCCAAGGCUAAAUACUCGUGAUCGACCGAUAGUGAACCAGUACCGUGAGGGAAAGGCGAAAAGAACCCCGGGAGGGGAGUGAAACAGAUCCUGAAACCGCAUGCAUACAAACAGUCGGAGCCUCGCAAGGGGUGACGGCGUACCUUUUGUAUAAUGGGUCAGCGACUUACAUUCAGUGGCGAGCUUAACCGAUUAGGGCAGGCGUAGCGAAAGCGAGUCCGAACAGGGCGAUCAGUCGCUGGGUGUAGACCCGAAACCAGGUGAUCUAUCCAUGGCCAGGUUGAAGGCACGGUAACACGUGCUGGAGGACCGAACCCACUAACGUUGAAAAGUUAGGGGAUGAGCUGUGGAUAGGGGUGAAAGGCUAAACAAACCUGGAAAUAGCUGGUUCUCUCCGAAAACUAUUUAGGUAGUGCCUCGUGUCUCACCUUCGGGGGUAGAGCACUGUCAUGGUUGUGGGGUCCAUUGCGGAUUACUACGCCAUAGCAAACUCCGAAUACCGAAGAGUGCAAUCACGGGAGACAGACAUCGGGUGCUAACGUCCGGUGUCAAGAGGGAAACAACCCAGACCGCCAGCUAAGGUCCCCAAAUAUGGCUAAGUGGGAAACGAAGUGGGAAGGCUAAAACAGUCAGGAGGUUGGCUUAGAAGCAGCCACCCUUUAAAGAAAGCGUAAUAGCUCACUGAUCGAGUCGUCCUGCGCGGAAGAUGUAACGGGGCUAAGCCAUAUACCGAAGCUGCGGAUGCGAGCUAGUCUCGCAUGGUAGGAGAGCGUUCCGUAAGCCUGCGAAGGUGCACUGGAAAGUGUGCUGGAGGUAUCGGAAGUGCGAAUGCUGACAUGAGUAGCGAUAAAGGGGGUGAAAGGCCCCCUCGCCGUAAGCCCAAGGUUUCCUACGCAACGUUCAUCGGCGUAGGGUGAGUCGGCCCCUAAGGCGAGGCAGAAAUGCGUAGCUGAUGGGAAGCAGAUUAAUAUUUCUGCACCAUUGUGAAAUGCGAUGGGGGGACGGAUCGCGGAAGGUUGUCCGGGUGUUGGAAGUCCCGGUCCUUGCAUUGGAGAAGGCGCUUUGGCAAAUCCGGGCGCGGAAUUCAAGGGUGCGAGGCGAGCCACUUCGGUGGCGAAGCAACUGGAAGGGGUUCCAGGAAAAGCCUCUAAGCUUCAGUUUCACAGUGACCGUACCGCAAACCGACACAGGUGGGCGAGAUGAGUAUUCUAAGGCGCUUGAGAGAACCCGGGAGAAGGAACUCGGCAAACUGGUACCGUAACUUCGGGAUAAGGUACGCCCCUGUAGCUUGACUGGCCUGCGCCAGGAGGGUGAAGGGGUUGCAAUAAACUGGUGGCUGCGACUGUUUAAUAAAAACACAGCACUCUGCAAACACGAAAGUGGACGUAUAGGGUGUGACGCCUGCCCGGUGCCGGAAGAUUAAAUGAUGGGGUGCAAGCUCCUGAUUGAAGUCCCGGUAAACGGCGGCCGUAACUAUAACGGUCCUAAGGUAGCGAAAUUCCUUGUCGGGUAAGUUCCGACCUGCACGAAUGGCGUAACGAUGGCCACACUGUCUCCUCCCGGGACUCAGCGAAGUUGAAGUGUUUGUGAUGAUGCAAUCUCCCCGCGGCUAGACGGAAAGACCCCAUGAACCUUUACUGUAGCUUUGCAUUGGACUUUGAACCGGUCUGUGUAGGAUAGGUGGGAGGCUGUGAAGUUGGGACGCCAGUCUCAAUGGAGCCGUCCUUGAAAUACCACCCUGAUCUGUUUGAGGUUCUAACCCUGGUCCGUGAAUCCGGAUCGGGGACAGUGCAUGGUAGGCAGUUUGACUGGGGCGGUCUCCUCCCAAAGUGUAACGGAGGAGUACGAAGGUACGCUAGGUACGGUCGGAAAUCGUGCUGAUAGUGCAAUGGCAUAAGCGUGCUUGACUGUGAGACGGACAGGUCGAACAGGUGCGAAAGCAGGUCAUAGUGAUCCGGUGGUUCUGUAUGGAAGGGCCAUCGCUCAACGGAUAAAAGGUACUCUGGGGAUAACAGGCUGAUACCGCCCAAGAGUUCAUAUCGACGGCGGUGUUUGGCACCUCGAUGUCGGCUCAUCUCAUCCUGGGGCUGUAGCCGGUCCCAAGGGUAUGGCUGUUCGCCAUUUAAAGAGGUACGUGAGCUGGGUUUAAAACGUCGUGAGACAGUUUGGUCCCUAUCUGCCGUGGGCGCUGGAUAUUUGAAGGGGGCUGCUCCUAGUACGAGAGGACCGGAGUGGACGAACCUCUGGUGUACCGGUUGUCACGCCAGUGGCAUCGCCGGGUAGCUAUGUUCGGAAGAGAUAACCGCUGAAAGCAUCUAAGCGGGAAACUCGCCUUAAGAUGAGAUAUCCCCGGGGCUUCGAGCCCCUUGAAGGGUCGUUCAAGACCAGGACGUUGAUAGGUCAGGUGUAUAAGCGCAGUAAUGCGUUGAGCUAACUGAUACUAAUUGCCCGUAAGGCUUGAUCCU
rfam:Paraburkholderia susongensis strain LMG 29540 genome assembly, contig: Ga0139082_126